rnacentral:rRNA from 1 species
AGAGUUUGAUCAUGGCUCAGAUUGAACGCUGGCGGCAUGCCUUACACAUGCAAGUCGAACGGCAGCAUGAUCUAGCUUGCUAGAUUGAUGGCGAGUGGCGAACGGGUGAGUAAUACAUCGGAACGUGCCCUGUAGUGGGGGAUAACUAGUCGAAAGAUUAGCUAAUACCGCAUACGACCUGAGGGUGAAAGUGGGGGACCGCAAGGCCUCAUGCUAUAGGAGCGGCCGAUGUCUGAUUAGCUAGUUGGUGAGGUAAAGGCUCACCAAGGCGACGAUCAGUAGCUGGUCUGAGAGGACGAUCAGCCACACUGGGACUGAGACACGGCCCAGACUCCUACGGGAGGCAGCAGUGGGGAAUUUUGGACAAUGGGCGAAAGCCUGACCCAGCAAUGCCGCGUGUGUGAAGAAGGCCUUCGGGUUGUAAAGCACUUUUGUCCGGAAAGAAAUGGCUCUGGUUAAUACCUGGGGUCGAUGACGGUACCGGAAGAAUAAGGACCGGCUAACUACGUGCCAGCAGCCGCGGUAAU